rnacentral:tRNA from 2 species
GCGCGCGUAGCUCAGCUGGAUAGAGUGUCGGCCUCCGAAGCCGAAGGUCGCAGGUUCGAAUCCUGCCGCGCGCG